CAAUAGCGUAUAUUAAAGUUGUUGCAGUUAAAAAGCUCGUAGUUGAAUUUUUGCUUGCCGCCGAUGUCGGAACUUCCGUACGUUCGGCGGCGUGCAUCCUUGGGUGGAACCUGUGUGGCAUUAGGUUGUCGUGCAGGGGAUGCUCAUCGUUUACUGUGAAAAAAUUAGAGUGUUCAAAGCAGGCUUACGCCGUUGAAUAUAUUAGCAUGGAAUAAUAAGAUAGGACCUUGGUACUAUUUUGUUGGUUUGCGCACCGAGGUAAUGAUUAACAGGGACAGUUGGGGGUAUUCGUAUUCCAUUGUCAGAGGUGAAAUUCUUGGAUUUCUGGAAGACGAACUACUGCGAAAGCAUCUACCAAGGAUGUUUUCAUUA
rnacentral:rRNA from 1 species